GAUAAACGCUGGCGGCGUGCAUGAGACAUGCAAGUCGAACGAACGAGCUUGCUCGUUAGUGGCGGACGGCUGAGUAACGCGUAGGUGACCUGCCCCGAAGUGGGGGAUAACUGCCCGAAAGGGUGGCUAAUACCGCAUGUGGCGACACGUUCAUUCGUGUCAUCAAAGCCGCGAGGCGCUUCGGGAGGGGCCUGCGUCCGAUUAGCUCGUUGGUGGGGUAAUGGCCCACCAAGGCGACGAUCGGUAGGUGGUCUGAGAGGAAGAUCACCCAGACGGGGACUGAGACACGGCCCAGACUCCUACGGGAGGCAGCAGUCGGGAAUUUUGCUCAAUGGGCGAAAGCCUGAAGCAGCAACGCCGCGUGAGGGAUGAAGGCCUUCGGGUUGUAAACCUCUUUUCUCAGGGACGAUGAUGACGGUACCUGAGGAAUAAGUCACGGCUAACUACGUGCCAGCAGCAGCCGCGGUAA
rnacentral:rRNA from 1 species